ncrna:unclassified sequences RAGATH-10 RNA
GAAACCUCAUCUUCGAUCGUUCGCCAUCCGGGCGUCGAUCAGUGCUUUUUAGCACGAGCGUCCGCUCGGAUGAGGAGAGAGU